rnacentral:rRNA from 1 species
GACGAACGCUGGCGGCGCGCUUAACACAUGCAAGUCGAGCGAGAACCAGUCCUUCGGGACUGGGGACAGCGGCGAACGGGUGAGUAACACGUGGGUAAUCUGCCCUCGGCACCGGAAUAGCCCGGGGAAACCCGGAUUAAUGCCGGAUGGCCUCUCUGCCCCUCGGGGCGGCGAGAAAAGGUAGCUUCGGCCUCCGGCCGAGGAUGAGCCCGCGGCCGAUUAGCUUGUUGGUGAGGUAACGGCUCACCAAGGCGACGAUCGGUAGCUGGUCUGAGAGGACGAUCAGCCACACGGGGACUGAGACACGGCCCAGACUCCUGCGGGAGGCAGCAGUGGGGAAUCUUGCGCAAUGGGCGAAAGCCUGACGCAGCGACGCCGCGUGCGGGAAGAAGGCCUUCGGGUUGUAAACCGCUUUCAGGAGGGACGAAGCCACUCGGGUUAAUAGCCCAGAGGGUGACGGUACCUCCAGAAGAAGCCCCGGCUAACUACGUGCCAGCCGCCGCGGUAAUAC